rnacentral:rRNA from 1 species
GGCGAACGCUGGCGGCGUGCUUAACACAUGCAAGUCGAACGGAAAGGCCCUGCUUUUGUGGGGUGCUCGAGUGGCGAACGGGUGAGUAACACGUGAGUAACCUGCCCUUGACUUUGGGAUAACUUCAGGAAACUGGGGCUAAUACUGGAUAGGAGCUCCUGCUGCAUGGUGGGGGUUGGAAAGUUUCGGCGGUUGGGGAUGGACUCGCGGCUUAUCAGCUUGUUGGUGGGGUAGUGGCUUACCAAGGCUUUGACGGGUAGCCGGCCUGAGAGGGUGACCGGCCACAUUGGGACUGAGAUACGGCCCAGACUCCUACGGGAGGCAGCAGUGGGGAAUAUUGCACAAUGGGCGGAAGCCUGAUGCAGCAACGCCGCGUGCGGGAUGACGGCCUUCGGGUUGUAAACCGCUUUCGCCUGUGACGAAGCGUGAGUGACGGUAAUGGGUAAAGAAGCACCGGCUAACUACGUG